GCCUACGGGGGGCAGCAGUGGGGAAUAUUGCACAAUGGAGGAAACUCUGAUGCAGCAACGCCGCGUGAGUGAUGAAGGUCUUCGGAUUGUAAAGCUCUGUCUUCUGGGACGAUAAUGACGGUACCAGAGGAGGAAGCCACGGCUAACUACGUGCCAGCAGCCGCGGUAAUACGUAGGUGGCAAGCGUUGUCCGGAUUUACUGGGCGUAAAGGAUGUGUAGGCGGAUAUUUAAGUGAGAUGUGAAAUCCCCGGGCUCAACUUGGGGGCUGCAUUUCAAACUGGAUAUCUAGAGUGCAGGAGAGGAAAGCGGAAUUCCUAGUGUAGCGGUGAAAUGCGUAGAGAUUAGGAAGAACAUCAGUGGCGAAGGCGGCUUUCUGGACUGUAACUGACGCUGAGGCAUGAAAGCGUGGGGAGCAAACAGGAUUAGAUACCCUGGUAGA
rnacentral:rRNA from 1 species